rnacentral:lncRNA from 1 species
GUCUGGGCGCGCGUGGCUGGCGGGUGGCCGGCGGUCGAGAGGCUGCGGCGGGCGAACGCCGCUGGAGUCGCCCAGACUGCCUCGGAUUUCAUAAUGAAUCUGAGGAAGGACAAAGGGUACAUUGGACCGCCUCAGCUCAGAGGCCCCGCGGACCCUGGGCCCCGCGAUGCCCGAGGGGCGGGCGGCGCCCUCCGGAUCCUGCACCCUCAGCCCGUGCCCCGCUGGCCUCCUGGCAGGCCGGGCAGAAUUCUGCUGCGAGGGCCCUGGAGGCAAGGGCCUUCCUCUCCGUUUUUCCUUGACACUGACGGGCGCGGCCCCACAGGGUUUCCCCCACGCUCCCUGGCCGGAAGACCUUUUCUGUCUGGUGUCUGCAGAGCCUGACGUGGGCAGCGCCCGCAGCUCGCGCCGGUGCAGGGGAGCUGAGGGCCGACUGCGCGCUGCACCACGGCGGCCACCUGCUGUGCGGUUCUGAGGGCUUCCGCGGUUCUGAGGGCUUCCGCGUCCCUGCCAUGCCCAUCUUGGGGCUUCAGAAGCCAACACGAUGGUUUUCGGGCUCACAUCCCAAAGGCUGCUCUUCCUUUUAGCACCUGGGACCUACCAGGAACCUCAACCUCUAACAACAUUGGUCCCCGUUACCGUGGAGUUUGCGCCCAGCGUUCGCUGGAGGGCCGUUUGAAGAAUGAUUGUUGUCGUAAAGGCCUUUGAUAAUAAUAGAUACUGUUUACCCAGUGCUUGAUGCCAGGCAUUGCUACAAACACUGCGUACACAUUAUUCUAUUUAAUCUUCAUAACCCAGUGAGGUAGGUACUGUCAUUACUGUCCUUUCACAGAAGAGGAAGCUGGGGCACAGAGGUUAAAUGCUAGUGAGAGCAGUACCACACUUGGCACUCAGGCUGCCCCCAGAGUGUGGGCACAACCAACGCAGGGCUAUGCCUGGGCUGCAGGCAGGGGAAACUGACCGUGGUUCGCUCCAGGCCUCAGCCACACUGCAGUUCACUCCCACAAAUAACUGAAGGACUUUCCCUGGGUGUCUCCCACAGUGUGCUGGGCGCAGUGGUGCAGUGGGGUGAGGACAACGCACACACCAGCAACCUCUCUAGCAGCUCAGUCCUUUUAGAUCUCCAUCUUCCAGAUCUAGAAAAAAUGGACUCCACGUUCGUUUUCACUGGUUCCCGCUUGGCUAAUCCCUGGUUUUUCUGUCCAGAUCUCGCCUCCCCAUCCGUGAUUUUGUCAUCUUUGCCUCUCCUUUUUCCUCUUCUCCAACCGGUCCCUCAGCCCCAGAACCUCUGCAGGCACCUCCCAAGUUCUGUGGUCUAUUGUUUUCAAGGGCUGCUGGAACGAAGUACCACACACUAAGUGGCUUCAACAACCGAAAUGUAUGGUCUGUCCUGGUUCUGGAGACUAGAAGUACAAAAUCACGGCGUGGGAGGGCUGGCUGCUUCCGAGGCCCAUGAAAGAGCAUGUGUGCCCGGCCACUCUGACUUGCAGAUGCCCAUCUUCUCCCUAUGUCUCCUCACACCAUCUUCCCUGUGGUGUGUGUGUGCAAAUCCCUUCUUUCUAUAAGGACACCAGUCAUACUGGACUAGGGCCCACCCGAAUUGCCUCAUUUUAACUUGAUGACCUCUGUAAUCAUGAGGUAAUGUCCAAGUAAGGUCCCAUUCUAAGAUACCUGAAUGCCCAGGCACGGUGGUUCAUGCCUGUAAUCCCAGCACUUUGGGAGGCCGAGGCAGGCAGAUCAACUGAGGUCAGGAGUUCAAGACCAGCCUGGCCAACAUGGUGAAACCCUGUCUCUACUAAAAAUAAAAAAAUUAGCGGGGCAUGGUGGUGCGUACCUGUAGUCCCAGCUACUCGGGAGGCUGAGGCAGAAGAAUUGUUUGAACCCAGGGAGGUGGAGGUUGCAAUGAGCCAAGAUCACGCCACUGCAUUCCAGCCUGGGAGACAGAGCAAGACUCUGUCUCAAAACAACAACAACAACAACAACAAACCCCUGAACAUAUGAACUUGGGGAAUGUGGGGGUGACAAUUCAACCCGUAACAUGUGGAUGGUCGUCACUGGCUGUCUCACCUUACGUCUUCUCCUCAAGACACUUUUCUUUUAAACUGGGUGCCUCUCCCUGGGCUCUAGCCCUUAAUGAGGUGAUUUCCAACUCAAGGCUGGGAAAGGCACACAACCCAGUAUCAGACCUGAGUUCACACUCCUUCUGGCAGGAACUUCUAGGUGACAUUGGGAAGCAACUUCAUUCCUUAGAACCUAGAUUUCUCCUCAGGCUAUAAGGGGGCUUGGCUAAAUAAUCUCUUAGGUCUCUUUCAGCACACACACUUAAAAAAAAACAAAAAAGUUUUUAUCUAAUCACUCCAAAAAGUUUUACAAUGUAUGGGGUUGUCUUGUGGACUUGAGAUAGAGACUUUGAUGGGAGGCAGUAUUGCAUAGUGGUUAAGAACACAGGCUUUGGGGUGGGUGAAUCCACAUCAAGCCUCAUUGCAUCCUCCUUAAAUCAGGAAUAAUACCUACCUCAGACAGGUGUCAUAGGAUUGACAGCCACGCCCUUGGCGUUCUCAUUAAAUGAAGAUUCCAGACUCUAUAGUUGGGAGUUUGUGACUUAGGUAAGAAACCAGUCUCUUUUUUUGAGACGGAGUCUCACUCUGUUGCCCAGGCUGGGGUGCAGUGGUGCGAUCUCGGCUCACUGCAAUCUCUACCUCCUGGGUUCAUGCCAUUUUCCUGCCUCAGCCUCCCAAGUAGCUGGGACCACAGGCACCCACCACCACACCCGGCUAGUUUUUUGUAUUUUUAGUAGAGAUGGGGUUUCAUU